GAAGGUCUGAUGAGCUAUUGUAUCGUGCAGAUGUGCACGCGCUAGGCUUCGUCCUGCAGGUGAAUACAGCGCGACCAAAAUUAGCUCCGAACUUUGACGCAGACUGAAAGAAGGCUCGACUUGAGCAGCGCCACUGGGAAGAAGAGUUCAAUUAUGAAGCUGUCCUCAACGCCCCGUAUUACGGAGGGCCUCUCCGAAUUCUGGACAAGUCAAAGCAAGAACGUCGAUAGCGCUUGGUCUUGCUCAUCUUACAGUCUACACGAGCCUCUCAACCGUCGUCUCAGUCGUCUGAGACGUCUCGUUCGGAGUGCUUUAACCAGUCGCCCUCCGCGCACCGGAAGACCCGAUCCAGCCACACAGGACGACUUGUCACGAGAGGGUUCUUGGGAGACCAUACCUCUCAACUCUGAUAUCACCCGCCCACUGGACAAUCUUAUCCUGCAGAGGAACUUGCAACAAAGAAAGCUGUUCAGGCGUUACAUUCUAUGCUGCUGCCCGUAGGUGCCUGGUUUCCAGCCAAGAUGAUUUGUAAAUAAACUGCGCGGCACUCUG